rnacentral:misc_RNA from 1 species
GAUGAAGAACGCAGCGAAAUGCGAUAAGUAAUGUGAAUUGCAGAAUUCAGUGAAUCAUCGAAUCUUUGAACGCACAUUGCGCCCGCCAGUAUUCUGGCGGGCAUGCCUGUUCGAGCGUCAUUUCAACCAUCAAGCCCCCGGCUUGUGUUGGGGACCUGCGGCUGCCGCAGGCCCUGAAAACCAGUGGCGGGCUCGCUGUCACACCGAGCGUAGUAGAUUUUCAUCUCGCUCAGGGCGUGCUGUGGGUUCCGGCCGUAAAAAGCCUUAUUUACCCAAGGUUGACCUCGGAUCAGGUAGGAAGACCCGCUGAACUUAAGCAUAUCAAUAAGCGGAGGA